ACCGGCGGCUCGAGUGGUGGCCACUAUUACUGGGCUUAAAGCGUUCGUAGCUGGCUUGUUAAGUCUCUGGGGAAAUCUUCCGGCUCAACCGGAAGGCGUCUCAGGGAUACUGGCAGGCUAGGGACUGGAAGAGGGGGGAGGGACUCCAGGGGUAGGAGUGAAAUCCGGUGAUCCCUGGGGGAACACCUGUGGCGAAGGCGUCUCACCAGGACGGCUCCGACAGUGAGGAACGAAAGCUGGGGGAGCAAACAG
rnacentral:rRNA from 1 species